rnacentral:rRNA from 1 species
AUUGAACGCUGGCGGCAUGCUUUACACAUGCAAGUCGAACGGUAACAGGGAGCUUGCUCCGCUGACGAGUGGCGAACGGGUGAGUAAUGCAUCGGAACGUACCCAGUCGUGGGGGAUAACGUAGCGAAAGUUACGCUAAUACCGCAUACGUCCUGAGGGAGAAAGCGGGGGACCGAAAGGCCUCGCGCGAUUGGAGCGGCCGAUGUCGGAUUAGCUAGUUGGUAGGGUAAAGGCCUACCAAGGCGACGAUCCGUAGCGGGUCUGAGAGGAUGAUCCGCCACACUGGGACUGAGACACGGCCCAGACUCCUACGGGAGGCAGCAGUGGGGAAUUUUGGACAAUGGGCGAAAGCCUGAUCCAGCCAUGCCGCGUGAGUGAAGAAGGCCUCGGUUGUAAG